CAAGCCCCAUGGCCGGCCUGCAGCACAGAGGCGAAUGUCUUUCCAGAGGAGAGGACCCAGCGUUGGGGAGGACCCAGCACUGGAGACACCCAGUACGUGGGACAGAGGCUGAGGAGAAAGCCCUGAGCGCAGGGCAAGGAGUGAGGCUGAAGACUGAGCCUCCACGGCCUGGGGUGAUUUUUAAGCCAUAAAUACACUAGCUCCACCAGACAGCUGAAGGGAAAGGCACCUACACCCUAGGAAUUCCCAGCACGGACCCCAGGUCACAGCUGUAGGAAAACUGCGGACAAUGCAUAGGACCCUAGGAAGGAACAAGGAUGGGGCUGGAGGCGUGGCUCAGUGCAGAGCCCCCGGCCUGGCAUGCACAAGGCCCUGCGUUUACUCCAUCUCCAGCAACAUAAAGAAAGAAGAAAGAAAACAAGGAUGAAUCUGCUUAUCAGGGACGUGCCCAUGCCUCAUCACUGGCUCCUGUGUAACUUUGGGAUGAGUUAACCAAUCUCUCUGAGCCUGUUUCCUCACCUGGAAAUCCAGGCUAAAUGCCAAUCCUAGAAGAGAAUGCUAAGAGCUGAAAGAAACCGUGGCUGUUCCGCUAUACUGCUGAGAGGACACGCAGGCAGCCGCUGGAGAGGUCCUCACAGGAAGGAACCCGCAGCCCUGUGGGUGAGCUGGGAAGCAGAGCCUCGAUCCCCAGGGGAGCCUGCAGAUGAUGGCGACCCCAACUUCCCCUUGACCUCAGCCUUGUGAGAGACCCUGAGCCAGAACCACCCUGCUGACAAGCCCACUCCACACCCCUGCCCCUCAGGUGCUGUGUGCAAUAAUCCAUGUUUGCUAUUUCAAGUUGUUCAAUUCUGGGGUAAUUUGUUACACAGCAGUAGACAACUAACGCAGACUCUGGUUCCUGGCACAUAAGAGUUCCUGUAAUAUUUCCUUGAUAAUAUUUCCUUGUUAAGACUACCAGAAGAUAUGAUGCUGAUGAAUAAGAGCAUUUUUAAGAAAAAAAAAAAUUAAAUGCCACCAUGUUAAAUAUAUACACUAAUUAAAUGCAUCCAGAUUUUAUAAAUAUUGAAAUACGAACAACUAUA
rnacentral:lncRNA from 1 species